AUUGAACGCUGGCGGCAGGCCUAACACAUGCAAGUCGAACGGUAACAGGAAGAAGCUUGCUUCUUUGCUGACGAGUGGCGGACGGGUGAGUAAUGUCUGGGAUACUGCCUGAUGGAGGGGGAUAACUACUGGAAACGGUAGCUAAUACCGCAUAACGUCGCAAGACCAAAGAGGGGGACCUUCGGGCCUCUUGCCAUCGGAUGUGCCCAGAUGGGAUUAGCUAGUAGGUGGGGUAACGGCUCACCUAGGCGACGAUCCCUAGCUGGUCUGAGAGGAUGACCAGCCACACUGGAACUGAGACACGGUCCAGACUCCUACGGGAGGCAGCAGUGGGGAAUAUUGCACAAUGGGCGCAAGCCUGAUGCAGCCAUGCCGCGUGUAUGAAGAAGGCCUUCGGGUUGUAAAGUACUUUCAGCGGGGAGGAAGGGAGUAAAGUUAAUACCUUUACUCAUUGACGUUACCCGCAGAAGAAGCACCGGCUAACUCCGUG
rnacentral:rRNA from 1 species